rnacentral:rRNA from 1 species
AUGUAUGCUGAUGACCUCUCCAUAUAUGAGAUUUCUUUUGUCCUUAGAAACCAACUUGAAAACUUCAUUGCUGAUGUGAGAGUUGAUUCAAGUUUUGUUAGUUGUAAUGACCUUGGUAGUCUUGCAGUGAAGAUGGUUUGGACCGAUAGACACAUGGUCUUUCCUUUGGUAUAUCGUCUUAUUGAGUUGGCAUUGAUUUUGCCUGUUGCAAUCGCAUCAGUGGAAAGAGCUUUCUCAGCUUUGAGUAUUAUCAAGACUGAGUUAAGGAAUAAGAUGGGUGAUGAUUGGUUGAAUUAUUCCAUGGUGUGCAAUAUUGAGCGAGAAAUAUUUGCAAAGGUUGAUAAUGAUGCUAUUAUAUGUCGCUUUCAAUCCUGUAGAUCUCGUAAAGGAAUUUUGCCUCGUCGUAGUAGUAAGUUUUCAACUUUGUACAAUGUUAAUUGUUUCACUUGA